CUGUAAUUGAUCAGCACACGAGGCGGGUUGAUGAACGGGUCGGGCCGGAAUGGCGAUGGGCAAGUUGAAACACCGCAGCAGCUCUCGUGCGACGCCACCUGUCAAGAGGGAUUCCGCUCCGGGAUUGCUGCUCCCCCUCUUGUAUGCCCCAGUAGCAGGUGGGAGGUGCUGGGUACGUGACGUAAGCGGAACAAUACGCAUGCAUAGUUUUGGAAUGCUGGAGGUCGUCGGAACAUCCACAAUUCAAAUACAAAGCACAAGAAAUCUGCACCAUGCUGUUUGGAUGGCAGGCUGGCCGGAAGGAGCGCGACAGGCCUCAGCGCCAGAAAAGAUCCCUUUGACCGCUCGGGCGUCGGUGGCUUGCCACAGAUGGAGAGCGGGGCUCGCUUCCGCUCUGACUCGGGAAGCCUCAAAAGCAGCCGGCUCACCGUGAAAUUAACGACAUAUUGCUCGCCGCCGGUGUUUCCCUGAUCGCGGCUUGCAAACGCAGAGGAAAAUUUCUGAUGAUGUUCGGCAAGAUUUCAGGUGAAUGUAAUUUCCGGGGAAAAUUCCUUUUCUCAACUCUCAACUGGACUCGCGUGUAUUUCUCGAGCAACAACCACUGUUGUCCGCAAAGCGCCGUACAUGGAGCAAAAAGAAUUCAGGAAAAACAAUCAACCCAAUAAAUGAAUCACAAAAACUGUCCAACGAAAAAUCAAAGUCUCGUGCUGCGUUAAAAGCCAAACAAUCCAAGACAAGUUUGAAAAAUGGGCCGCGAGGGGGCGUGCCCAACGUUGGUUCCAAAGGGAAGGAGCGGCGACGGAAAAGGCGCCAUCCCCUUGGAGCCUCCUCCGCUUGGUUCUCGGUACCUCGAAUAGUCUGCAGACCCGAGACAGCGGGCAGGGAGCUCAGAGAGGUCAGGUGCGGCCAGGCCAUUGCAGGAAAACCAAGAGUAGGACCCCAAAAUGUAGGCAGUGAAGGGAUGCCCGAGUCGGCGUGAUGCGCUCCCUCUUACGAGUACCAGUCAAGAGGCGAGCAGCGGCAUUCGGGACCGACUGGACGCUCCUAAUGGAGGAUCGGCUGACUUCAAAGUCAAGUGCAUGACAGUCAUCCAGCCGUGAUGGGACGAAGGCAUGAAGGACUGUUUCAAAGCGCUCACCGGGGGAAAGGAGAGACUUUUGACUUGAGCCCGCUGCCAAAGAUGAAACAGGCCCGAUUUAUCCACCGCACCAAUUAGCCGGUCCCAUUUCAAAUCACGGUCCAGUUUCAGACCCAAAUUCGAGACCGUUGGCUUAAAAUAAGGAGCUGGUGGACAUCGUCGUGCACGUUGUGUCCAGGCGGAAUAGUUCAACCAAGCCUUUUGCCGUUAAAGCCGUCUUAUCCUCAGUGAAAUGAAGAUCCAAUUGUGCACCGCUUGCUUCAUCUUUGUCAUUUCAGUCCCUUGGUUAAACUUGCUGUAUACAUUGAUCGUGCUCCUCCUUGGCAAUUUGCUGCAAUAUGUGUGUGUGCGCGCGUGUGCGUGUGUGUGUGAUUACUCCCAGUGUGAUCGAUGAGGUGCCGUUGCCGCCCGCUCUUUUGGUUGGUGCCACAGUCAGAGCAAUACGAGUGGCACCGCAGGAAGUGAAAACACCUCGCAACGUACGCACGAAGCUGCGGUGACUCGUCACGGCGUUAUUUGAAGUUCAACGUUUUGCGUUUUUAUUUGUGUAUAUAUAAAUAAUAUGCUGUCCACGCGAUGGAUGAUGAGGCGAGCAGGUUACACGACAACGAGCAGAGGUGUUGCGAACCCAAAUAUACAUUCUGCAGUUCAUUGAAACGCGGGCGGAAGCGAUAUGAAAGGUCCGCAUCAAAUAUUGACGGGGCAAAUUAGCUUCCUUUCAAAAGCGAAUGAGAACAUCGCAUGAAAUAUUCAUGACAGAGGAUAUGUAAUUAGAACUCAAGUGUAUUUCUGGAGCGCUUGAGAACAACCGGCGCUGUACACAAAAUGCCGUACGUGGAGCCAAAAA